rnacentral:lncRNA from 1 species
AUAGAUUAAAUAAUUUAAUUUUAAUCUCAUGUAUAAGAUCUAAUCUUAGACUACCACAUCAGAAUCUUUGAUAUAAAAAAAUAUAUAUUUUAGAUCUGAAAAUAAAAAUCACAUCGAUCUCAUAGAUACUAAAAUUCUAGAUCUAACUAUUAGAUCUACUACAAGAAUCAAAACAAAUUAGAGAUCGUUACCAAAAAAAUUUUGAUCUUAAUCUUCUCUAAUUCAAUGAUUAGAGAGGAUAUUCUUUAGGUCACUCACAGCCACACGAAGUCAUCUGACCUCUAUAGAAAAAUUCACAAAAGACUAGCACAGAUCAAGGACUCGGAGAUGCUAGUCUGCGAAUAACUUUGAUAGCUGAUCUCUUUCUUCUUCUACAAGUAACUUAGAUACUCCAAAGUGAUAGAAAAUCUGAAGGAGAA